UGCCUGGUGGUCCAGUGGCUAAGACUCUGCACUCCCAAUGCAGGGGGUCUGGGUUCAAUCCCUGGUCAGGGAA
rnacentral:tRNA from 1 species